rnacentral:rRNA from 1 species
CCCUUAGAUGUUCUGGGCCGCACGCGCGCUACACUGACGAAUGCAACGAGCUUAUAACCUUGGCCGAAAGGUCUGGGUAAUCUCCAAAUUUCGUCGUGAUGGGGAUAGAUUAUUGCAAUUAUUAAUCUUCAACGAGGAAUGCCUAGUAAGCGCAAGUCAUCAGCUUGCGUUGAUUACGUCCCUGCCCUUUGUACACACCGCCCGUCGCUCCUACCGAUUGAAUGGUCCGGUGAAGCGCUCGGACCGCGGCCUCUUGACGGUUUUCCGUCGAUUGGCUGUGGGAAGUUCGUUAAACCUUAUCAUCUAGAGGAAGGAGAAGUCGUAACA